AACGAACGCUGGCGGCGCGCCUAAUACAUGCAAGUCGAGCGAGAAGGUGUAGCAAUACACUUGUAAAGCGGCGAACGGGUGAGGAAUACAUGGGUAAUCUACCAUCGAGUGGGGAAUAACCAGCCGAAAGGUUGGCUAAUACCGCGUACGCUUCCGAGUCUUCGGGCUUGGAAGGAAAGCCGCACUGUGAGUGCGGCGCUCUUUGAUGAGCUCAUGUCCUAUCAGCUUGUUGGUAGGGUAACGGCCUACCAAGGCUUUGACGGGUAGCUGGUCUGAGAGGACGAUCAGCCACACUGGCACUGCGACACGGGCCAGACUCCUACGGGAGGCAGCAGUAAGGAAUAUUGCGCAAUGGGCGAAAGCCUGACGCAGCGACGCCGCGUGGGGGAUGAAGGUCUUCGGAUUGUAAACCCCUUUCGGGAGGGAAGAUGGAGCGAGCAAUCGUUCGACGGUACCUCCAGAAGCAGCCACGGCCAACUUCGUGCCAG
rnacentral:rRNA from 1 species